UCCAGACUCCUACGGGAGGCAGCAGUAGGGAAUAUUGCUCAAUGGGGGGAACCCUGAUGCAGCGACGCCGCGUGGGUGAAGGAGCGUUUCGGCGCGUAAAGCCCUAUCGGCAGGGAAGAAGGAGGACGGUACCUGACUAAGAAGCCCCGGCUAACUACGUGCCAGCAGCCGCGGUAAUACGUAGGGGGCAAGCGUUAUCCGGAUUUACUGGGUGUAAAGGGGGCGCAGACGGCAGCGCAAGCCAGGAGUGAAAGCCCGGGGCCCAACCCCGGGACUGCUCUUGGAACUGCGCGGCUGGAGUGCAGGAGGGGCAGGCGGAAUUCCUGGUGUAGCGGCGAAAUGCGUAGAUAUCAGGAGGAACACCGGUGGCGAAGGCGGCCUGCUGGACUGCGACUGACGUUGAGGCCCGAAAGCGUGGGGAGCAAACAGGAUUAGAUACCCCCGUA
rnacentral:rRNA from 1 species